AACAGGAUUAGAUACCCUGGUAGUCCACGCCGUAAACGAUGUCGACUUGGAGGUUGUGCCCUUGAGGCGUGGCUUCCGGAGCUAACGCGUUAAGUCGACCGCCUGGGGAGUACGGCCGCAAGGUUAAAACUCAAAUGAAUUGACGGGGGCCCGCACAAGCGGUGGAGCAUGUGGUUUAAUUCGAUGCAACGCGAAGAACCUUACCUACUCUUGACAUCCAGAGAACUUAGCAGAGAUGCUUUGGUGCCUUCGGGAACUCUGAGACAGGUGCUGCAUGGCUGUCGUCAGCUCGUGUUGUGAAAUGUUGGGUUAAGUCCCGCAACGAGCGCAACCCUUAUCCUUUGUUGCCAGCGGUUCGGCCGGGAACUCAAAGGAGACUGCCAGUGAUAAACUGGAGGAAGGUGGGGAUGACGUCAAGUCAUCAUGGCCCUUACGAGUAGGGCUACACACGUGCUACAAUGGCAUGUACAAAGAGAAGCGACCUCGCGAGAGCAAGCGGACCUCAUAAAGUAUGUCGUAGUCCGGAUUGGAGUCUGCAACUCGACUCCAUGAAGUCGGAAUCGCUAGUAAUCGUGGAUCAGAAUGCCACGGUGAAUACGUUCCCGGGCCUUGUACACACCGCCCGUCACACCAUGGGAGUGGGUUGCAAAAGAAGUAGGUAGCUUAACCUUCGGGAGGGCGCUUACCACUUUGUGAUUCAUGACUGGGGUGAAGUCGUAACAAGGUAACC
rnacentral:rRNA from 1 species